CUAACGUGGAAAAACGGAAAGCAUUUUAAAAUUUCACUGAAUAAAAAAAAACUACAUAAGAUGGAAAAAUAAUAAUUUUUUCCAUCUUUAAUAAAGGAAAAAGUGGUUUUAAAUUUGAAACCAAUAGUCAUCCUGAACAAGGAAUGGGAAGAUUUUCUAAGUAUGGCACUUCAAUGAAAUUCAGACAUUUAUAGGACAGCUUGAAGACAUUAAUAUGCUGGUAAAGGCUGAAGAAUAUGUCAACAUUGAUAAAAAUUUUUUAAUAAAGGCAGGUUAUCAAACUAUGAGUGAUUUGAUCCAGUCAAAAAGAGAAGAAAAUUCUAUAAAUGAAGAAGAUAGCAGUGAAAAAGGGAUUGGAAGAGACUUCCCAGAAACAGAAAAAAUAAGAAAUUUUGCUAAUGCUACAAAUAAAUUGGCUGUAUUAGAAGAAUUACCAAACAUCUCAGUUGCAUGAAA
rnacentral:lncRNA from 1 species